UCACCUGAGUGCUAGGCCAAGGGCUAGGGAGGUCUAUUAUAGUACCGUAGUAGAUGUAAGAUUAUGUCUAGCUAUAGCUAUGGCUCCAGUCCAGUGAUAGUAAGAUCAAGAAGUUAAACAAAAGCUGGUUGCAUCGGUCACGAUUGAUAUUCAUUAAAGCAAGUGAACCCAAUCUCGAUUUCCGACAUGGUAGCACGUCGGGCUGUCUUAAUAAGUUUUUAGUUGGCUGAAACUCCUCUCGCUCUCACAAGAUGUAAUAGGAAGUGUCAGAGCCAAUGUCAACAGAAGAUUCACAUUUGGAUAUGUCAUCACAUGGCACUCUCUCAAGGCAGCUCCUUAUUUAUAUGAUUUGGAUUUUUAUUUAUGUGAAACCGUACUUGCUUUACUCUUUUUGAAGAAUGUUGAAAUUGGCA